AACGUAGGUGGCAAGCGUUAUCCGGAAUUACUGGGCGUAAAGGGUGUGCAGGCGGGGUUGCAAGUGGUGUAUGAAAUAUCCCAGCUUAACUGGGAGGGGUUAUGCCAGACUGCAACUCUAGAGGACGAGAGAGGGGGGUGGAAUUCCGGGUGUAGCGGUGAAAUGCGUAGAGAUCGGGAGGAACCAGCAGAGGCGAAGGCGGCCCGAGCCUGGACAUACUGCACUCAAACACGG
rnacentral:rRNA from 1 species